CAAAGGCAUGGUCCCGACCUUUCCGUCAGCCUUAACUCAACUUACACAUGCAAGUCUCCGCAGCCCAGUGAGUAUGCCCCCACCCCCUAAUAAGGGAACAAGGAGCAGGUAUCAGGAACAAAAACUUUAGCCCAAGACACCUAGCUAAGCCACACCCCCAAGGGAAUUCAGCAGUGAUAAAUAUUAAGCUAUGGGUGAAAACCCGACUUAGUUAGAGCUAAAAGGGCCGGUAAAAUUCGUGCCAGCAACCGCGGUUAAACGAAUGGCCCUAGUUGACGAAACCACGGCGUAAAGGGUGGUUAGGAAAAACAAAAAUAAAGUUAAAUGACCCCUCGGCUGUUAUACGCUUCUAGGAGUCCGAAACCCAAACACGAAAGUUACUUUAAACAAAAUAUCCGACCCCACGAAAGCUAAGAAACAAACUGGGAUUAGAUACCCCACUAUGCUUAGCCACAAACAAAGACACACACCUACAACAAUGUUCGCCCGGGUAUUACGAGCAUCAGCUUAAAACCCAAAGGACCUGACGGUGCCUUAGACCCCCCUAGAGGAGCCUGUUCUAUAACCGAUAAUCCCCGUUAAACCUCACCACUUCUGGCCAACCCAGCCUAUAUACCACCGUCGCCAGCUUACCCUGUGAAGGAGCAAAAGUAAGCAAAAAGAAUAUUAUUCAAAACGUCAGGUCGAGGUGUAGCGAACGAAGUGGGAAGAAAUGGGCUACAUUUUCUUUAACAGAAUAUUACGAACAUGCAUCAUGAAACAAUGCUUAAAGGAGGAUUUAGUAGUAAAAAGGAAAUAGAGUGUCCUUUUGAACCCGGCCCUGAGGCGCGUACACACCGCCCGUCACUCUCUCCAGUCACCAUGCGCACGAACCUACCUAAUACAACAGCACCGACAAGGAGAGGCAAGUCGUAACAAGGUAAGUGUACCGGAAGGUGCACUUGGAUAACC
rnacentral:ncRNA from 1 species